AGCAGCCGCGGUAAUUCCAGCUCCAAUAGCGUAUAUUAAAGUUGUUGCAGUUAAAAAGCUCGUAGUUGAAUUUCGGGAUCAUCAGGUUGGUCGUGCCUCUGGUAUGUACUUGCUUCGAUGGUCCCUCCUUCUUGAAGAACCGUAAUGCCAUUAAUUUGGUGUUGCGGGGAAACAGGACUGUUACUUUGAAAAAAUUAGAGUGUUUAAAGCAGGCAAUCGCUUGAAUACAUUAGCAUGGAAUAAUGAAAUAGGACGUUCGAUCCUAUUUUGUUGGUUUCUAGGAUUGACGUAAUGAUUAAUAGGGAUAGUUGGGGGCAUUAGUAUUCAAUUGUCAGAGGUGAAAUUCUUGGAUUUAUUGAAGACUAACUACUGCGAAAGCAUUUGCCAAGGAUGUUUUCAUUAAUCAAGAACGAAAGUUAGGGGAUCGAAGACGAUCAGAUACCGUCGUAGUCUUAACCAUAAACUAUGCCGACUAGGGAUCGGAUGAUGUUAAUUUUUAAUGACUCAUUCG
rnacentral:rRNA from 1 species